rnacentral:piRNA from 1 species
UUAAAUGGAAAAUGCACAAAUAUUCAGA